UGGCCACGACGCAGCUGAGGACCAGGGGCAGCCAUCACAGUGACUUCUAGAUGGUCUGCUCCUCGCAGCCACAGGCCCCCCAGAGCAGAAGCUAGGGGGACACCCUUCCUCGCCAGCCAGGCUCUCAUGCUGACCUUGCAAAUUCAGCCGCUGCUUUGAGCCCAAAAUGGGAAGAUUGGUUUUGUGUCCGAGACUUGUUCAAGUCUGUCAAUGAGGGGGACAGCACCUCGGGAACAGAGGCCACCCGCCUGAAUGUUGACAUGCCAGUGGAUGACUCCUUUUUCAUUUUUCCCUCCCCACCCCCUCAGGACAGUGUUACAGUAAACAUUAGCAUUCUGUUUUGGGUUGAUAGUUAAUCAAACUGACAUUACAGAAAGUGCCUUAGACACUACAGUACUAAGACAAUGUUAAAUAUAUUAUUUGCCUCUGUAACAAUUUAAUGUAUUAAGUUUUGAC
rnacentral:lncRNA from 1 species